AGCAGCCGCGGUAAUUCCAGCUCCAAUAGCGUAUAUUAAAGUUGUUGCAGUUAAAAAGCUCGUAGUUGAAUUUCGGGGUCGAAUUAAUCGGUCGUGCCUCUGGUACGCACUGGUUUUAUUGGUUUCUCCCUUCUGACGAACCAGGAUGUCAUUAAUUUGGUGUCUUGGAGAAUCAGGACUGUUACUUUGAAAAAUUAGAGUGUUUAAAGCAGGCUAAACGCUUGAAUACAUUAGCAUGGAAUAAAUGAAAUAGGACGUUUGAUCCUAUUUUGUUGGCUUCUAGGAUUGACGUAAUGAUUAAUAGGGAUAGUUGGGGGCAUUAGUAUUCAAUUGUCAGAGGUGAAAUUCUUGGA
rnacentral:rRNA from 1 species